AACUGACAACGGCAUGGCUAAAAAAAUGAAAAACAGACAAAUAAUACACUGUAAUAGUACAGAAGACACAACAUAAAACUUAAAAUAAGUGUUAUUUUAUAAUGAUAACUAAAACAGUGCCCAACAGUUAUUUGGGGAUAUGCGGGGGAGCAUCGUUUAUAAAGCAAUAUGUAAUUCUAUAUUUCAAACAUAUUAAAGAGGAACGAAAGAUACCAGAGGGAGAGUCAAACUCUUAGAUAGAAAAUAAACUGACUGCGCCAUGGCUAAAAAAAUUGAAAAACAGACAAACAAUACAUUGUAAUAGUACAGAAGACACAACAUAAAUCAUCCCUUUGAAAACUUGAAGGAGGCCAUCACGAUUAAGUUAACCCUUUAGAUGUACCAUUCACAGAUAACGACGGAUAUGUUAUAAUUGUCGUAACCACAACCUCAUCCUCUUUUCCCUGAAUCAUACCCACCAAAUAAGAAUUAUCACAGGGUUUGUACUUAUAUCUGCAACACGACCGUUUCAACAUGUGGAACAAUAUCUGCCUAACUUUUCCUUUUUAUAAACUUGUCAUAUCCAACUAAGUAAGACAUCAGAUGACUUUGGUGACAUAUAGCGAGCUGCCAUUUUGCAUUAUUUUGUCCCAUUGAAACUUGUCACGUGGUAUGCUAUCAAAGUUGAUUAUGCCUGGGAUAGAAAUGACUCUAUAUAUCAACAAUGGUCUAUUAGUGAGGUACACAUAAUUUUUGUAUUCUCUCGUUACGAAUGAACAAAUGGAUACUAAUACAAGUUGAUCAAUAUACCUGCUAUUUGUCUUAAAAGGUUUCACCCUGCAUACUAUUGCUUUGAAAGUCCAUAUUAAACUCAUUAUAGGAUUAAAUUUUGGAACGCCAGAUGGCUCGUUUGAUCUACCAAUAAGUAAAAUUAGAAAUUACCGAACUCCCCCCAAAAAAGUUAAAACGGAAUGUCACUUACCAAAUGGCAUAAUUGUAAAUGCAAACGCGUCAAAUGAAUUAAAAACAACUGUGACAAUCAUAAAUACCGACUGGGUACAUGCAUCUUUUAGAGGAAAACGUUUUGGAUUAAACCUGGUGUUAUUGCUAGCUAAAAGAAGAGUGUUGUCUCAUUGGUAAUCAUACC
rnacentral:lncRNA from 1 species